UCUUUCAGAAUUUUCCACCGUUUAUUGUGAUCCACACAAAGGCUUUAGCAUAGUCAAUAAAGCAGAAAUAGAUGUUUUUCUGGAACUCUCUUGCUUUUCCGAUGAUCCAGCAGAUGUUGGCAAUUAAGGGCAGAGCCACCCCUAAUUCAGCAACUUUUAGGUGGAAGUAAGCUUUCUGGAAGAAACAAACUCCUGGGCAGAUUUUAGAGAGCAGUAUAGCCUGGCAAAGGUCGAUUGGGAAGAGAGGGAAACUGACACUCGUGUUUAUCUCACAUGUGCUUGGUAUUGUGCCGGAAGAUCUACCCACAUUUUUCUUUAAUUCUGCAGAUGAUCGCUGGAGUUGGGUAUAAUGAUUACCAUUUUGUAGAUGGGAAAACUAAGCCUAUACAAUAACCUGAGAUUACAGUCAGUUAACGGAGGAAACGACUUCCUGGCACUAAUUCCAUACUCUAUUCAUUCCUUCAUUUAACAAGUCACAAGUUCAGGGGAAGAGGGGAGGAGGAUGCUAAGGAACAACUGGCAGAAGUGUUACAAAUUAGGUUAAGUAUUGCCUCCAAAUGCCUCUUCCAGGAAGCCCACAAAGAUCAGCACCUGCUUUGGUUUAAUACCAAUGUGAGAGCCUUGAGCUCAGCAGAUCCCUUAACAAAAUCACUUGUUGAAUGAAAUUGGUGGAUAAGUGAUUGAAUGAACACACACCUGUUUUAAUAUCACUUUAAAAAGAGCAGAUACCCUCUCUUGAUUGGGGUCAUCCCGCCCAUCUCUUUGACCCUGAUUCUGUCUUGUCUCUUUCUGCAUGUCUCUAAUCGAUCACUCCAAAUUUUCCCGUCUUCAAUCAUUAAGAACUGGGAGGGAAAGACACGGCUCCAAUUCUCCAGCUGCCUCCUCACUGCUGUUGAGCUUGAGAGCACAGUAUUUAAAUCCUGUUAAAUAACCUGUUUUCACGGGCAAUCGCAGCCAGCCAGAGCAAGACACAAGGGCAGAUCAGACUCAAGGGGUGGUUGGAUAACAUUCCUCCAAAAUUCACGUCCUCUUGGAACUUCAGAGUGUGACCUUAUGUGAAAGUAGGAUUUCAUUCGGGUGUAAUUAAAGCUACAGAUAAGAUCAUCCUGAAUUUGGGGUGAGUGCUCAAUCCAGUGGGGCUUCCUUGGGUGGCUCAUACAGUAAAGCGCCUACCUGCAAUGCCAUAGACCUGGUUCCAUCCCUGGGUUGGGAAGAUCCCCUGGAGGAGGAAAUGGCAACCCACUCCAGUAUUCUUGCCUGGAGAAUCUCAUGGACAGAGGAGCCUGGCGGGCUACAGUCCAUGGGGUUGCAAAGAGUCAGACACGACUGAGUGACUAACACACUCAAUCCAAUGACUGGAGUUCUUAUUAGAAGAAGAAAAGACACAGAGACAGACCCGGUGGGAAAGACCUGUAAAGUUGGAGGCAGAGGUCAAGGUGAGGCAGCUAUAAGCAAGGAAACCAAAGGCUAAUGGCAUCCACCUGAAGCAAGGAAUGAAUUGUCUCCUAGAGCUUUCGGAGGGAGCAUGGACCUGCUGAUACCUUGACUGUGGACUUCCAGUCUCCAGAACCACAAGAGAAUAAAUUCUGUUGUUUAAGCCACCCAGUCUGUGGUCUAAUUUUUUUUUUUUUUUUUUUUUACAGCAGCCCUGGGAAACCAAUGCAGGUGGGAGGUAGACUUCAUCUCUUGAUAGGAGCUGCAAAGCGUGAGGAUACAGGAAGGCAGGAGAAAUGGAGGCGCGGUUGCAAUCUUGCACCUUCUCAGCUCACCAGUCCUCACUCUGUUCCUGGCAGGCACCUUGAAGCCAAGGAACAGCCAUAGCACGCCAGACGCCAGACAUUCACGACGCCGCGAGGCUCUACUCUGCCCAAGCUCCAGAGGGAGUGCGUGUCUUCGAGCUGACGCGGAGUCAUCGCUGACAGAUGCCUCUCCUCAUCCCACUCCAAGUCGCCCCCCCGAGGAAGGCAGGGAGCCAGGAAGUCGAGGUUAUCAGGGUGCUGGGCACUGCACCUCUGGGGCAUCUUCAGUGGCUCAGGUCCAGGUGGCCUGAGCUGACCAGACCAGACCUUCCCGCCCCCCGCCAAGCCCUCCCCUGUGCACAGGAAGGACCCCCUCCUUUGGAUUUUCUCGUACAUCCUGCCAGAAAAGGAGGUUUGGCAGAGACUUGGUUUCAUUCCACCGACACCUCAGAGAGAAGUUGCUGUCUUGGGGGUUCAGACUGUAACUCCCGAGGUGUGAGAGCACGUGUUUUCUGAAUACCCAUCUGGCGUCCAUGCUCAGCAUGGUGGGCAGGGGGAGGGCUGGACCACUGAACCCUGCCCCUGAGAGGUGCAGGCACCAAGGCUGUCGAGAUGGGCUGGGGUUCCGGGCACCACCCAGUGCCCAGGGGUGGGUGCCUGGGAUGGAGGGCGUCACCACCCAGGCUUCCUCCCGCAGGACCUGAGUCUUCCCUUCCUCCUUCCCAACUCCUGAUGAGUUGCACUCGAUGUAAAAAGACGCAGAGUCGCCAGCUGAGACUGAAGAAGGGGCUGGGGUGGCAGGCUGGGGGAGAAAGAUGGUGUGAGACGCCGUGAGAGGGUCAGGUCCAUCACGGAGGGGAGGUUACUUGUGCCGGGAGUCACUUCUUUAUUGGUGUAUUGAGGUGAGAACAGCCUUAUGCAUCUCAAAGAAGAGACUGUUCUUGCAUCUGGAAACCACUCCCUUCCCCCAACUCAGAGUAGCCUUUAGCAGAAGGGGAGGGGCAAAAGGCCCCCACCCCUCCAGGGCAUGUAAGGAGGCACUUAUUGUCAAGGUCGUGCAAGGAAAAUGCAGCCCCUAAGAGGGAGUAAAGUAGUUCAGUCAUUCAGGUGUGUCCAGCUGUUUGCAACCCCAUGUACUGCAGCACGCCAGGCUUCCCUGUCCUUCACCAUCAUUGAGUUGAUGAUGUCAUCCAAACUUCUCAUCCUCUGUCACCUCCUUAAAUGCUGUGCCCUCUGUACCUCCAUCCCCAAAGGGAGCCUCCCUAGGUAUCCAGAGGGGAGGACCUGCAUUUGAGGCAGGGGCUCUUGUCUUCCCUGUUGACCAUUGAUUCCUUUUGAACCUGGAGGCUCCCGAGGACUGGGCUCUUGUUUCUCUUCCCUCCAGAUGUGCGGGCAAGGAGGCAGGACCAGCUCCCGUGUACAGAUCAUCAGUAAAACGUCUUCCAGCCCCCUUCACUGCAGGGCUCAGGGUCUGGCAGCUAUUUAAUUUUUUCUAACCAACUACAGGCAAAUCAUUGACCCCCUGGACCCCUCAUUUAUCCUCCUCUGGGUCAUGGGAAAAUAGCUGAUUCACCCAGAGGGGCAGAGGGAGCUGGGGGAGAAGGUGGUGAAUGCAGGCAAUUGCGGCAGUUGCUGUUCGUUUAGUCGCUCAGUCGUGUCCGACUCUUUUAUGACUCCAUAGACUGUAGCCCGCCAGGCUCCUCUGUUCAUGGGAUUUCCCAGGCAAGAAUACUGGAGUGGGUUGCCCUUUCCUCCUCCAGGGGACCUUCCUGACCCAGGGAUCAAACCCAUGUCUUCUGCAUUGCAGGCGGAUUCUUUACCACUGGGCCACCUGGGAAGCCCCGGUUUAGUAGAGCUGGGUCUAAAAGGAGGACCUUUUCUAGCUUUCGUGAGUAACUACAAGCUGUGUAUGGUCUCCCAAGGCGCUGCGGUGAAAAAGCUGUCACAAAAUUAGCUUCAAAGGUGGCGGCUUUCCCCACAUGUUUGCUUCAGACGCUUGGCUUCUAGCAUUUAAAUUCCCAUUAAGGAGCUGCCGUGGCUGCGGGCAGGGCAAGCCCACUCUUUACUUGAAAGGGAUCAAAUCCUUGGCCAGAAAUUUGACUUGAAUUGUGAUUGUUCUUAUUCAUCUUGAAAUUCAUUGAAGGCCAUAAAUCCACUCAUCCUGCCUCAUUCUCUUAACUCUAUGAGGAUUAAAUUGAUGGGGAAAAAAGGUCAUACUUCGGAAGGUUUAGAAUUUGGGCGCAAGUUGGCUCAGCUGGGAGAGGGCCUGGAAACCAGGUGGUGAAGGGUUCCAGCUGUGCUUGCAGAUUCAAUUAUGAGCUCUGCUAGGAUGGGCUCAGCCCUUUCAGAUGCUGCUGGAAAUCUAAAGGAAGACCUUGAGGAGUUUAUAAUAUGAAGGUUUUAAGGAAUAGGUACUGACCAGUUCUCCAGCCCCACAGAGAGCAAAGCAGGAGAGAAUCUUCCAGAGAGAGAAGCAAGUUGGACAGAAGAAACUUUGUUCCUACAGGUUGCAGAACUAGCAGGGUCCUUUCUGAAAUGUCUUGUAUUGGCUCAUGCCCACCCACUCCUUCACUUUCAAGAAUGACUCCUCUUUAUUCUUCAAAACCCCAAGGAAGGGACACCUCUUCUGGGAAGCCUUCCAGGAAUACCCCCAAAGCUUGUGUUAAUUUCCCCCUCUAUCCUGCACUUAUUCCUAGGCACUUAUGUCUGUUGCCGUAUUCAUUUAGGAGUUCCUUAAUGACGAGAGUUUUUGUCUCCGUUGUGCCCUUGGCCUUUAUCUGGCAAUUGAAUUUGUCAAGCUGCUUAGAGAUGGGAACCUGGAGCAAUGGCUUCUGGAGGUCUUUGCUUCCUCUUGGCGUCUCAGAAUUGCUCUUUCUUCACAAGAUGAAUACAUUGGCCAUUUAGUGAGGAAAUCGAAAGGAUAAUUUCCUGACCUUAAUAUGCAAACUGAGAUUUUUCUCAGCGGCUAAUGAUCUACAGGCUGCCCUGGCCUCCCUGGACACAGGAGUAGGAAGGCUCCGUAGCUCCCAGGCUUUGUAAAUGGCUUUAAACAUUGUGAUAGCCCAGCUUCCGUAAUUAAAUGUUACAAGUUCAUCUGGGAGGGCUCUAUCUGAAGUGUUCCCUCUGAGCCCCGCAGGGCUAAUUCAGUGAAGCCAGCCAGGGCACUGCCUCCGAGGAUAAAGGAAAUUGAAUGGCCACCCCCAGCAGGUUGGGCAUUGAAAGGGGCCAGGUUUUAAUGAGGCCAGUGGACCCUGGAGGGCCUGGUGGGAACAUCCUGUGUCCCGCCAGUGGCCCGUCACCCCUCGGGGGCUGUCACCAAUCAGCCCCCUUUGCCAGGACCAUAGGCUGUUCUGCCAGCUGAACCAUCACAACUGGUUCAGGCUGAAUCAAUGACUCACCCCGCCCGAGUAUCAGAGUCGGUGGGAGUAACUUGGGUGAGCUCCCUGACUCCAGUACCUGGAAGUAUUGACGAGGUUGAGUCUGCUGAGUGAGGCUGCCCAAAGUACCCAGCAGGACUAAAUCAAGUCUACCUCAGCUUAUGGUGUGGAACCCCAUAAUUCUAGAACUUUCCUUGGUUCCACUCUCAGCUUACAGCUCUUUCCUAGAAACUUACAGGAGUGAAAGCCUCAGCCCCAGGGCCCGGGUCUUUGAAGUUGGUUUUAGACUGUUCCUUAAGGAAAUCUGGGGCUUCCCUGGUGGCUCAGAUGGUAAAGGAUCUACCUGCAAUGUGGGAGAUCUGGGUUCCAUCCCUGGGUCUGGAAGAUCUGGAGGAGGAAAUGGCAACCCACUCCGUUAUUCUUGCCUGGAGAAUUCCAUGGACAGAGGAGCCUGGUGGGCUACAGUUCACGAGAUCACAAAGAGUCAGAGAGGACUGAGUGACUAGGACUUUAAGGAAAUCUAGAUGGGUUAUGCUUUGCUUAAGAAGCUCUUGUUUUGUUAAGAAGCUCUGUCGGGGGACUGGGUAAAAAGAACUACCAUUUGUGGAAUACCAAGCCAGCCCUUCUCAGACUUGCAAAUGUGGAUAAAUGAGUUGCCUGGCAUCCUCUGAGAUGUAAUUGAUCCAAAUCAGUAGGUCAGGGACAGAGUGAGGCUCUGUAUUUCUAGCAAGCUCUCUGGAUCAGGUGCCAUGCUUGAGAAGCAAAUGUUUAUGAAUGUCAUCUCCACCCCUGCUGCAAUCUUACACAGAGGAAAUGGGACCAGCAUUUCACAAGAACCUGUUAUGUGCUGAGUAGGGUGAUCAAGCCUUAUGGUGGGCCCACUCAGGACUUUCAGUGGGCAAACUGGAACCAGUUGGUGACUCCACAGGACAAAAAUGCAGUGUUUUUCUUAUCAUUUAGCAAACGGGGAAACUGAAGUCUACAGAGGUCAAGAGGAGGGAAGCCCGAGGUUGGAGAGGGUCAUGACCUCAGGAAGAUGCCACACCAUGGAUCUGGCAAGGCUUUGAAGCUCUGGGUGAUAGAGGAUACCCUUGCCCCGAUGGACAAUGUUGAGCCUCAUCCUGCAACCCAAAAUUCAGUGCACAGAAAGAUCGCUGCAGGGAGCUGGUUCACACCCAGAUGCCCAGACUCUGAGGAGGAACUAGAGAUCUGGACGUCAGGCUUGACUGUGAUCCUCAGGUGACCCUGGUCACAUGGCUCCCUCUUGGGGAAACCCUGCUCUGAGGGUCCAGAUGAAGAGAGACGGAUGUCUAACGCGGCCUCGUGGACCUGAGUGACCUCAGAAAUCCUGCUCACCAAAAAGCGGAGCCUUUAUUGAGUUUUUCAUUAUAAAUGACAUCGUGCAGCUGAGACAUUCACUCUGUCUUCCAAAACACUUGGACAACAACUCACAUUUUCAGACGGAACAGGACAAAAUGAUUACAACCAUUUAGGGGAAGAGGAAAGUAAGUUUCUUCAAGCGUCUUACCUAGAGUGGACUAGAUGCCUGGUCUGUGAAAUCUCAUUUAUUCCUCCAUCAACCCCAAUAGCUGGACAUCGCCAUUACUCCCUUCUGAGAGCUGAGAAAAUGCAAACUCAGCAAGGUUAACGAGCUUAUUCCAAGUUGCACAUAUAACAACCUGGCAAGAACGGAAAUCCAUCUAGCCCAGGUUCUUUGCAUUGUGUCUCUUUGCCUCUAAAACACCACCGUACGGACUGUAAACACUUUGACAUGUUGAGUCCAGGCUGGUUGAAUCCAGCCCUGAUAGGAGUGCUCUCUCUGGGUGGGUGAUGAGAGACCAUGAUUGCACACAUUCACUUUCCCAUCCAUCAGAUAUUGCUACUGGGCACCACGCUAGGCAGAGGUGACAUCCCCAAUUUCCCCUGCCGUCCCCCAGGACCCUCACUUCCUGUUCCUACAAUGAACUAUGAACUCCCACGAGGCACCAAGGACUUGCCCAAACACUGUGCUUAAGAAACUGGACCAAACUUGCGCCUGGCUUCCCCAGAAGCCAUGCCCAGAUUCCCCCAGAAAAUGCAAUAUGGCCAAAAUCCAUAUUCAAAAUGGCCCUUCCUGCUUCCCCAUAGUGUCCCCUCUCUGUUCUCCUUUAAGACCCUCAA